GAUGAACGCUGGCGGCGUGCCUAAUACAUGCAAGUCGAGCGAAUGGAUUAAGAGCUUGCUCUUAUGAAGUUAGCGGCGGACGGGUGAGUAACACGUGGGUAACCUGCCCAUAAGACUGGGAUAACUCCGGGAAACCGGGGCUAAUACCGGAUAACAUUUUGAACCGCAUGGUUCGAAAUUGAAAGGCGGCUUCGGCUGUCACUUAUGGAUGGACACGCGUCGCAUUAGCUAGUUGGUGAGGUAACGGCUCACCAAGGCAACGAUGCGUAGCCGACCUGAGAGGGUGAUCGGCCACACUUGGACUGAGACACGGCCCAGACUCCUACGGGAGGCAGCAGUAGGGAAUCUUCCGCAAUGGACGAAAGUCUGACGGGGCAACGCCGCGUGAGUGAUGAAGGCUUUCGGGUCGUAAAACUCUGUUGUUGGGGAAGAACAAGUGCUAGUUGAAUAAGCUGGCACCUUGACGGUACCUAACCAGAAAGCCACGGCUAACUACGUGCCAGCCGCCGCGGUAA
rnacentral:rRNA from 1 species